rnacentral:lncRNA from 1 species
AAGCAGAACGUAAAUAUAAGUGUAUUUAUUAGUAUUCUAUAGUUCUCACAGUUUCAAUUGGGGAGUGAAAAGAUCAUAUUAAAUCUAACAAUUUAAAACAUCAUGUGAACAACACAAAAAUGGAAUGAUUUAAAAUUUUAACGAAAAAACAUAUAUGAGUUUUACAAAAAUAAAAAAAUGUAUAACUUAUUUUCCUUAUGAACAUGAAUCAUAUAAUUUUCAUAUAAAAUUUGAUACAAAUUAUGAAUUAUCAGGUCUAAGAACUACUAGGGAAGAACUAAAAAUCUUAAAUCAUUCUUAAAUUUUACUUGAACAUUGUGGAAUGAUCCUUCUCUUUGUGCUUGAUUUACUUAUUAGUUUAAUUCUUCCUUAUCCCAUAGCUGAAUGAAUAAUUCAGUUGAAUAAAGUAAGCGGACAAGCUUUUCUCAACAAGUCACCUGCAGCUUGGACUUUGGAUUCUUAUCAGAUAAUCAAUUGCCAGCCAAGAGGUUGGUUCAAUUUAAUGCACCAAAUUCUACAUUAUUUGACCAGGUUCUCGUUUCUGAUUACAACAACUGACAUAUAUUUAUGGCUAGAGUAACCCGUUAUCUUAGUUGGAUCACUGGUUCCAGGGAAGAGGCCCCGCCAUACCUUGAGAAAGUUGCUAUACCCCAACCUUAUCGUAGGUCCAUGUUUAGAUGAUCAUUCGAUCGGAUAUGUUUCAAUCAAGCCAGGAUCAAGUGAUGAUAAAUGCAGAGCCUCACGGUACCUUGGGUAUUUAGUGAGUGCAGAGUACUGAGGACAAGGAAUUGUUGCAGCUGCAUUGAAGAUGGGGUUUCCAGGAUUGGUAAGGCAUGAAGCUUUUGCAAAGGAAGAAAAUCAGGGUCCCAAAAGGUGUUGGAAAAGGUUGAGUUUUUGAAAGAGUGCCUGUUAAGGAAGUAUGGGUUUUCAAAAGUGAAAACAGAGACAUCAUUGUCUAUAGUUUCUUAUCAACAGAUAGGAUUGAUUGGGUGAUUGUUUAAAUUACCCCUAUCAUUUUCAAAAUUAUCAUAAUAAUUUAAUCAUUAAAAUGAUUUUAUUACUAAAAUGAUUUUAUUGUUUGUGAUUUGAAAUUAUUUUAUUUUGUUAAAAUCAUUAAUUCUUAGUAAUUAAAAAUCAAUGUGUUUGAUAUUAUUAAAAAUUAGACAUUAUUUUGUUUGAAAGUAAAUAAUUAUGUAUAUUAUAAUAAUUAUAUAAGUUAAUAAUUAAUGUUAUUUAAAGAUAAUAACGUGUAUAUAAAAUAUUAGUGAUAUUUUAUUUACUUCAUAAUAAAUAUUAUUAAAUUAAAAAUAUAUUUUUUGAUAGUAAACUAAUUUUUAUAUUAUAAAUUAUGUAAAAAAAUAUUUGAAUUAAAAAAUAAAACUAAUGUAUUACAAUCAAAAUAUUAUAUUAUAACUAAAUUUUUAAAAAAUUACAAAAAAAAAUCACAUAAAAUAUUUUUGAACUUGUUAUAAUAAAUAAUAAUUUAAAAAUAUAAAAAUUAUAAUAUAAAGUUAUUCAAUUAAUUUUAAGAAGAAGUUUUUGAUUUUAUAUAUUCAAUGGAUAAUAUUUAUUUUUAUUAAUUUUACAUAUCACUUUAUUUUAAUGAUAAAAUUUUUUAUCUCUUUGGAUGAGAAUUAAAUUAUCCUUCAAAGCAUUGAUCUAAUAAUUCUUAAUGAUUUAAAAUUACUAUUACAUAAAAUCAUUAAUUGAUUACUAAACACAAUAAUCUAAUCAUUAUAUAUAAGUCACCGUAAUUUUUUUAACGACCACUUUAUAUCAAACACAUCUUAAAAAUUUCAAAGUUCAUAUUGUACUUUGGGCCACAUUGAGGACUAACCGGCCCACAACCUUAAUACCUUAGGGAAGAGGGCAUUUUUAAUGCUGUAACAAGGUCGCUAUGUCCCAUCCUUGGCUUAAAUUAGAUUAUGUAAAUUUAAAACAAAAGCAGUGCAGAAAGACAGUAUUUAAUGUAAUCCAUCAGAUAAGAUAUUUACACGUAUGACUUUCUCCCAGGAUAACCAUGAAUUUCCAAACAACAUUUAUACAAUUUGUCUACUUGUUUCUAAAUGAGUGAUGAGCAUUGGGGUACUUCAAUUGAUUUAUCUCGAAGGAGUAUGAACCGUAUUGUUCGUCCCACCUGUUAUUGUGUGGCAAAAGUUUACAUUGUAUUUGAUAUAUAUAUCAUUGAAGGGAGCAUUCACUUAUAAUUAUUAUAGCAUAAUUAAUUAAUUAUAAUUUAAAAUUAUGUAAGAUCUAUAAAAAAUUUUAUGUGAAUACGUUUAUAAGUAUGAAUCUCCACACAAAUUUUUUUAUUGUGAUUCAAUAAUUAUAAUAUUAUAAUAAAAAUAAUUAUAACUAAUAUACUCUAUUAAUAUAUUAAUUAUAAAAUUAUAAAGUACAAGAACUAUUUUGACUGUAUUAUCAUUGUGGAAAUAGAAGUUCUAGUUUUUUAAAAUAAUUUCAUUUGCUAAAAUUGUAAAUGGUAAGAUCAUAUCACCUCAAGCUGAGAGCUGAUUAAUUGGAGCACUGAAAUUGCCCUUUCUGCUGGAUUCAUAUAUGUAGCUUCGAUUGAUCAUCUACUUAGGAAAAUUAUUGUAUAGUGCACUGAAAUUUGUUCAUAAGUGAUUUCUAGUACGCCAACGAGUAUUUGACUUUGCAGCGUAAGGGUGUUUAGGCAUUGAAGGGAAG